UCUCUUUGCAGCUUCCUCUUCAUCGCUGUCAUCUUCGUAUUUCCUGCCAAAUGAAAACAUUUUUACUGAGUGACCCGUUUCAAAUGCAACACCGAGCUGACACGGUAAACCCCAGAUGUCUGAGGACUGUGCGGGCGGGUCAGCGUCGCUCAAAGUCUAACAGGAAGUCAGAACCGAAGGAGCAUCAGACUUUGAAUGCCCAUAAGCAACUACUUUGUACAACUACAGGACACCUGGCCAUACAGAGCAUGGCACAUUCUGACUGCUAAUCUGGACCCCCACCCCCAGCUGACACAACGUAAGACCAACUGAUUAGGUUCGAUUUGUCGCAAGAUUUGGUUGGGUGGUCGUUUGGUUUCAUUUUAAAUUUU